rnacentral:rRNA from 1 species
CCUACGGGUGGCUGCAGUUAGGAAUCUUGCGCAAUGGGCGAAAGCCUGACGCAGCAACGCCGCGUGGGGGACGAAGGCUCUCGGGUUGUAAACCCCUUUCAGUAGGGACGAAUCAAGACGGUACCUACAGAAGAAGCCCCGGCCAACUACGUGCCAGCAGCCGCGGUAACACGUAGGGGGCAAGCGUUGUCCGGAUUUAUUGGGCGUAAAGAGCUCGUAGGCGGUUCGCUAAGUCGGGUGUGAAACCUCCAGGCUCAACCUGGAGACGCCACCCG